rnacentral:rRNA from 1 species
GUCCUUUUGAUUUUUAUAUAAGGUCGGGCCUGCCCAAUGAUUUAUUUAAUGGCCGCAGUAUACUAACUGUGCAAAGGUAGCAUAAUCAUUUGUCUUUUAAUUGAAGGCUGGUAUGAAUGGUUUGACGAGAAAUAUUCUUUCUUAUAUUUAUUUUUUUGAAUUUAAUUUUUAAGUUAAAAAGCUUAAAUUUUUUUGUAGGACGAGAAGACCCUAUAGAGCUUUAUAAAAAUUAUUUUUUUUUAUUUUUUGUUUAUUAAAAUUUAAUAUAUUAAUUUUUAUUCCGUUGGGGUGACGUGAAAAAUAUUUUAACUUUUUAUUUUUAUUUCAUUAAUUAAUGUAUUUUUGAUCCAGAAUUUCUGAUUAUAAGAUUAAGCUACCUUAGGGAUAACAGCGUAAUUCUUUUGGAGAGUUGUUAUCGAUAAAAGAGUUUGCGA